rnacentral:lncRNA from 1 species
ACGCUGCGCCUGCGCAGAGCGGCAGGACGCAUGCGCGGAGCGCUGGCGCGACGCCGGGGCGGGGUGAGCUGGCAGCGCGGGCGGCAGUUGACCCUGGGGUCGGCCGUUGGUCCUGGCUCAAACACCUGACAAAUAAACGCACAAAGACGCGAGCCGCUGUUUAUUUCGCAGCUUUUUGUGGCACCGUUUUCUCUGGCGCUGGCUAGGUGCCUCCGGGGCGCUUGGCCCCGUCGCCACGUCGGCCAGGGGCAGCCCCACGCACGGCCCGAGGCUGCCGCUUGUUCGCGUGUGGCUGCGGGGUCACCUCUUCCGAGGCCAAAGGCUUCGGCUGCGUGUGUGUCAGUGACUGCCAGGGCCGGCUGCUUCCUACUGGGGAGCGUCCUCCAGGUGGCAGGCUCGUCCCGAGUUUCCUGCACGCAGCCUCGGUAACAUCAGCGGCAGCGUUUGGUGCGAGAAAUUUUCCAGCUGUAACAGCAGUGAUACCCACUACAAAGGAUUUGUUCUACAGCUGAUGCAGCAGUGCCCGUUAACGUAAGUAAAAAAUGUGAGGUUUAACUGACUAGUCCACAAAGAAAGAUUUAAUUAAUUAAUUUUGUAGUAAUGUAUUAAUUAAUUUUGUAGUAUUUGUAGUAUUCCUAUACAUUAUAUCUUAUGCAAAAUAACACAAAAAAUUAACCUUACAGGUUUUCAAGUAAAUCUCCCUUACCACUUCUGAGCUUUCUCCUUUUCAUUUGUAUGUAUUACUAUUUCCCUGACAGUUGACAUGUAUGAAUUGUGUUGGUAGAGAAUACAUUAGAAUACAGUUCAGCGAUAAUGUGGCUAGCAGUAUUAGAAUUUAAUUGAAAUCCAUUGCUGAAGUUAGAGAGAUCUUUGUGUGUUUCUUCUUUCCAUAGCAUCAAAAGUCUGGAGGAAGCAUGUGGGGCUCAGAAAAAUUCUGAACAAUUCAAUUUACUAAUUAUAUAUAAGAGAUGCAGUGUCUAAAUAUGUAAAAGUCAGGUUGCUCUGGGAGCUUCUAAUAUAGACCAUUUAAAGAGGUCCCAAGUUAUUUAAAGAGGUACUAUCUCUAUGUACUAAAAGUUCAUUUUUAGAUUGUAUAAUGAGGGCAUGAAUAACCUUCAAGGCUCCAGCAUUAUAACUUGUUGCACAGUUGUGGAUUUACAGAGAAGGUAGAUUUCUUUACCUAAAACAUUGUCAAGAUCAAAACAAAUUUACCACACUUUCCUACAUGCAUAAGAUAAUGCAAAACCCAUGCAAGAACUCUAUCAAAUUUAAGCUUUUCUUCAACAGUUUGUGACAUGGGCCAGCUUCAUCCUGGAAUAAAAUUGCUCCCAAGAUUCUGGGAAAGAUCUCU